rnacentral:rRNA from 1 species
CACGUGGGCAACCUGCCCUGAAGCGGGGGAUAACAUCUGGAAACAGGUGCUAAUACCGCAUAACAACGAAAACCACAUGGGUUUUCGUUUCAAAGAUGGUUUCGGCUAUCACUUCAGGAUGGGCCCGCGGUGCAUUAGCUAGUUGGUAAGGUAACGGCUUACCAAGGCAAUGAUGCAUAGCCGAGUUGAGAGACUGAUCGGCCACAAUGGAACUGAGACACGGUCCAUACUCCUACGGGAGGCAGCAGUAGGGGAUCUUCCACAAUGGGCGCAAGCCUGAUGGAGCAACACCGCGUGAGUGAAGAAGGGUUUCGGCUCGUAAAGCUCUGUUGUUGGAGAAGAACGUGCGUGAGAGUAACUGUUCACGCAGUGACGGUAUCCAACCAGAAAGUCACGGCUAACUACGUGCCAGCAGCCGCGGGUAAUACGUAGGUGGCAAGCGUUAUCCGGAUUUAUUGGGGCGUAAAAGCGAGCGCAGGCGGUUGCUUAGGUCUGAUGUGAAAGCCUUCGGCUUAACCGAAGAAGGGCAUCGGAAACCGGGGCGACUUUGAGUGCAAAAGAGGACAGUGG